AGCAGUAGCCGCGGUAAUACGAAGGGGGCUAGCGUUGCUCGGAAUGACUGGGCGUAAAGGGCGCGUAGGCGGAUUGUUUAGUUAGGCGUGAAAUUCCUGGGCUUAACCUGGGGACUGCGCUUAAUACAGGCAGUCUAGAGUGAGGAAGAGGGUUGUGGAAUUCCCAGUGUAGAGGUGAAAUUCGUAGAUAUUGGGAAGAACACCGGUGGCGAAGGCGGCCAUCUGGGACAACACUGACGCUGAAGCACGAAAGCGUGGGGAUCAAACAGGAUUAGAUACCCCAGUAGUCCCUGUCUCUUAUAC
rnacentral:rRNA from 1 species